rnacentral:rRNA from 1 species
UACGUAGGGUGCAAGCGUUAAUCGGAAUUACUGGGCGUAAAGCGUGCGCAGGCGGUUUUUGUAAGUCUGUCGUGAAAAUCCCCCGGGCUCAACCUGGGAAUUGCGAUGGAGACUGCAAGGCUAGAAUCUGGCAGAGGGGGGGGUAGAAUUCCACUGUAGCAGUGAAAUGCGUAGAGAUGUGGAGGAACACCGAUGGCGAAGGCAGCCUCCUGGGCCAACACU